GUCGGAUGAAAACAGCUCACCACUACGGUGAGCUGUUUUUUUGUUGUAAGUGUGAAUGGGAUACAAGAUAUGUGAAGGAACUGCACCGGAACGUGAAGGAAAGGGUAGGGGAUCGCGCGACUGGAAGUGCGCGUCCAAGCGGUGAGGCUGACCGGACAGGCAAAUCCGUCCGGUCGUAAGGCUGAGCCGUGAUGGCGAGGGAAAUUAAAGUACCGAAGUCCCUGAUCUCACACUGCCAAGAAAAGCCUCUAGCGAGGAGUGAGGUGCCCGUACCGCAAACCGACACAGGUAGGCGAGGAGAGAAUCCUCAGGCGCGCGGGAUAACUCUCGUUAAGGUUCGCGGGGAAAAUCCUACCCGGAUCAAUGGGGGAAGAUCUUGGGUGGGCUGUUUUUU
rnacentral:rRNA from 1 species